AAUAAAUUUAAAAGCUCUGCAUCUAAAGAACAAAGUAGUGUCCCAUCAUUCGAAAAUGAAAAAAGUUUAUUUCCUGAUACAGAAAAUGGUAAUAAUAAUAAUAAGAAUAAUAAUAACAAUAAUAAUAAUAAUAAUAAUAAUAAUAAUGGACGAGCGCAAAAAAAAAUGCAAGGUAUUAAUGACCCUAAUUAUAUCACAAGUUCUACGGGUGGUACGAGUAAUAUAAGUGUAGGAAAUAACUACGUAAACAAUAGUUAUAUGAACAAUAACUACAUGCAUAAUAACAUGCGCACAAACAAUAACUACAUGAACUAUAAUAAAAUUAAUUAUAACAAAAUGAACUACAACAAAAUGAAUUAUAACAAAGUGAACAUGUAUGGAAACAACAACACUGGUAAUACAAAUGUUAACAAUAAUAGCAAUAUUAUUAGUGGCAGUGGUAAUAUGAAUUUUUAUCAUAUUCAUAAAUGUAAUAAUAACAAUAGUAAUAAUAACUAUAAUAGCAACAAAAACAAUCCAAACCACUAUGUUUAUAAUAAUGAUAAAACAUAUGUAUAUAAUAAUAACAUAUUUAAAGAUUGUAUUAAUACAACACCUUAUGGAUUGGUAAAUAAUAACAAUAGUAGUGUUAAUAAUAAUAUAAAAUCCAAACAUAUAUUUAAUUGGAAAUUAGGUAAAAAAGCAUUAUUUAAAAUGUUAUAUAAUGCAAAUAAUUAUUAUUUUAAUGGAGUUAAAUAUUCAGAUUGGAAAUUAACAUGUAUACCUACACUUGGGUUUUCAAAAUCAAGCAAUCGAGUACAACAAAUGUUUAAAGCAGUGGUACCAUCAAAAGAUGGAAACCAUAAUAAAGAUAUUAAACUAUUUAUUAAAAAAAUACCUAUAUAUAUAUGGAUUAAACAGUUUAAUUUAAUGGAUAAAUAUGACGGUGAAUAUGUUACAGAUGGUGAAAAUUUUGUUAUGGAAGCAACUUCAUUAGCAUUUUUGAAUGAAUAUCAUUCUGAAAUAACACCAAAACUUUAUAAAAUUUUAUACGAGUUUGAAAGUGUAGGUAAUAGUAAUUAUAGUAAUAGUAUUAGUAAUAGUAUAAGUUAUAAUAGUAGUAAUUGUGAUAGUAAUAGUGGUAGUAGUAAUAGUAAAAAAUAUAAAAAGGGAGUUGGUACAUAUGAAAAUACUACCAUUGUCACUGGUACUGGUACUGCCACAGGUAUAAAUACUACUACUGCUACAAAAAAUGUGUAUCCUAAUAGUACAUGUUAUAAUGACAUAUUUCGUAGCAGUUGCAGCAGUAACUCAUGUGUUGGUAAUUCUAGUAGUAGUUGUAAUAACAUAUGUGGUGGUAAUUCCUUUUUAAAUUAUAUAGCUUCUAAUUUGAUGCUUAAUAAUAAUAAUAAUAAUAACAAUUUGUUUGGUAAUAAAACAAAAACUAAUAACAUAACUAAUGGAAAUAUUAUGAACAUGAAUGGUAAUAUUGUUAUCGUUUCUGAGUUUUUUAGUGAAGACAUUUUAGAUUUUAUUGAUAGAAGACAAAAAAAAAAUAACACAAAAAUAAGUAAUGACGAAAAAAGUUUUAUUUUAUAUCAAUGUUUAAAAUUGUUAAUAAAAUUACAUGAUGCUGGUUUAUCUCAUUUAGAUUUGACUCCAGAAAAUAUUUUAAUAUCUGAAAAUUAUGAAAUGCGUUUAUGUGAUUUAUCCAAAAGUACACCUAUUUAUACACACAACUUACGACAUAUAAAAGAAUCUAACCAGUUGUAUUUAUUUGAAUCUUGUGAACCUACUAUUGCUAAAGGGGCAUAUAUGCCACCUGAGUGCUGGAAAAUAUAUUGGAAAUAUGACACUAUGAAAAUAAAAAGCCCACUAAAAGAUUUAAAAACCAUUACAGAUCAAGAAAAAAGGAAACAAUUUUAUUUUGAUGUUUCUUGUGCUGAUAAAUAUAUGCUUGGAGUAUUUUUCUUUUGGAUAUGGACAAAUGGAAACUUAUGGAAAUGCUCCGACCCCCUACAAGAUGAAGAUUUUUUUUAUUUUGUUAAGUGUGACAUGAAUUUUGAUAAAUUUGAGUUGACUCGAAAAUGGCCAGACGAGCUUAAAAAUAUUAUUAAGGAACUACUACACAGCGAAAAGAGGAAAAAACUAAACUUAAGAGACUUAAUUAUACACCCAUGGUGGUCUUGCAAGCUAUCAUAAUUCCACCGUUAUGUCAUAACGUUGUCUAUACAGGCAUGUCAUAAUCAUGUCAUUUUGAUAUUAAUAAUGAAAAUGAUGUUAAUGGUGUUAUUGGUAAUAAUGAUGUUAAUUUUGAUGACUUUUUUUUUUUUUUUUUUUUUUUUUUUUUUUUGUAUAUAUGCAAGUGCAUAUAUAUAUACAUAUAUGUACCAAUGUAUGUAAAAAGAUGUUAUAUAUGUAUUAUGUCAGUUUUUUGUUUUACGCACACAUUCGCUAUUUUUUUCAAAACUUUGACGAAAUCUACCAUGAUGUUUUCAUAUAUUUUAACAAUUAUAUUAUAUAGGCGUAUAUGUAUAAAUACUUGUGAUUUUUUUUUUUUUUUUUUUUUCAAUAUUUAGCUUGUUACAUUAUUCUGUAUAUUUAGACAGGUUUUUAUUAAGCACGUGUUUGUAUAUAUAAAUAUAUAUGCAAUUUUAUAUUUUCACAACAUCAUUUAUUUAAAAAUUUAAUGUAUCGUUAGUUUUUUUUCUUUUUGUUUUUUAGUUAUAUACACUUAUUCAUUAGCUUGUAUAUAUAUAUAUAUAUUUUUAAAAUGUGUAUAUCCAGGUAUACAUAUAUGUAUUUCUUGUUAUUUACAUGCAUUUUUUUUUUCUUAUUUCUUGCAAUUUUUAGAUAAAUAUUUCAUUAAAAUUAAAAGAAAAAAAUAAAAAAUUAACACUUAUAAAAAUUAUAAAAAAA
rnacentral:lncRNA from 1 species